rnacentral:miRNA from 1 species
UGCGAUUUCACGGCAAAAUACUCCAAAGGCAGCAUAAAAAAAUUAGAUACUUUUCUAGAAAAGUAUCUAAUUUUUUUAUGCUGCCUUUGGAGUAUUUUGCCGUGAAAUCGCA